GUUUCUUGUCAGGCUCCAUUGCAUCAGGCCUUUAAGAAGGGGGUGAUACUGGGCGCUCCUCUUAGGAUCACGGAUGAGGACAUUCAGAAGUACUUAGGGGAAGGCGUUGUUUCUGGAGUGAAGCGCCUGUCAGCUAGGCGGGAGGGUAACGCCCUCCCGUCCUUUACGGUUCUUGCCCAGUUUGGAGGUUUGGAGUUACCUAAAGAGGUGGUUAUAGGAUACCAGAUCUUCAGGGUUCGCCCCUUUGUUCCCUCCCCCGUGCGUUGUUAUAAUUGCCAACGAUUUGGUCAUGUCGCCGCGGUUUGUCACAGCCAGGUGCCUUGUGGGAAGUGCGGCGACGCACAUUCUAUAAAACAAUGUGAGAGUCUUCUGCCUGCGAAGUGUUGUAAUUGUGGCGGUGCCCAUACCCUGGGAUAUCGAGGUUGUGUGGUUUCUAAGCAGGCCUGGGAGGUCCAGGCGCUUAGGAUAGAGCAUGGCAUCUCUUAUUCAGCUGCUGUUAAGCGACAUAGGGAGGCUGGUGAGGUGCUGGAGGGAGUUGGGGGUCCUCCGCCACCUUCUUCCUCUUUUCCUUCCACUCUGUGGUGCUGGAUGGAGGGGUCGCUUGCCGUUUCCCCACCAAAGAGAAGUUUUGGGUAUUUAUGGUAGAGGUAAUAAAUUGCACUGCCCAGACAGACUGAACGGCGUUCUGAGAAGUUAGCAAUAAUAUUGAAGGCAGCUGAAAAGUAUUUAGGUAUGGGUUCUAUGACAGCUGGCCAGAUAUGUGCAGAGCUGGGUCACUCUGUAUCCUAGGAUGCGGUCUCUGUCUAUUUUCAGUUGGAACGCUCACAGCAUUUGCGCUCACGGCCAAGAAUUGAAGUAUGUUUUAUCAACUAGUUCGUUUCCUCCUUUGGUUGUUUGCAUUCAGGAAAUUUGGUUGGCCCCUUCCUUGGCCUUCCGUUUGCCUGGCUAUGUUUUUUUACGCAAAGACCGGACUGAGGGACGAGGAGGUGGUGUAGCUUUGGGUAUUUUAGAAGGUUUGAACUAUUUGGAAGUUGAUGUUAGGACUGAGGAGAUUGAGGUUUUGGCUAUCGAAAUUCCGCUGGUAGGAUUGUCAGUGCCAGUUAGGAUAGUAAAUACAUAUAACCCGUGCCGGCUUAUUUCUAGGGAAUUAUUGGAGACACUGCUUGAUGGUGUUCGGGGUCCGGUUAUUUUUUGUGGGGAUUUUAAUAGUUAUAAUCCUCUGUGGGGCAGUUCUAGACUUGAUUCUAAUGGAAAGGUUUUGGAGGCGUUCUGUGCUGACCAUAGUUUUGUGAUUCUUAAUGAUGACAUUCCGACCAGGUUUGAUUCUAGUUCUGGACGGAUGUCUUUUUUGGAUUUGGGAAUAGUUUCUAGCUCAAUAGCUGGGAAAUGUUCUUGGGAAGUUCUAUCUGAUCUUCAUAUGGGAAGCGACCAUCUUCCUACCUUAUUGCAGUUUGGAGAGCAAGGGCUUUUUGAGCAGCGCUCCUUGGGCCUUCGUUGGAAUUAUACGAAGGCUGACUGGAAUCUAUUCCAGACCUCCUGUACACGGGAGUUGGCGUUGGCCCCAGCCUCAGCUCCAGUAGAGGAGCUUGCUGACAUUGUUUCGUCUGGUGUCUUUAGGGCAGCCUCUCUUGCUGUUCCCAGAUCUGGAGCUCGGGGUACAUCCCGUCGUUUGGUCCCCUGGUGGUCAGAGGAUUGUAAACUGGCUGUCCAAGCACGGAAUCGUGCUUUUAGGAAAGCUAAACGUACUAUGUCUGGGGCUGAUCUGCUUGUAUACAAGCGUUUGAGGGCUAAAGUGAAGUUGGUUGUUUGGUCGGCGAAGAGGAAGAGCUGGAGUUCCUAUUGUGACAGGUUGUCAGUAGACGUUCCUGUUGGGAACGUCUUUAGGCAGAUUCGGAAGAUGAAUGGGGUUUAUCCAAAGAUGAGAGCAGGGGCGUAGCAAGGUUGGAAUGGGCCCAGAGACAAGAUUUUAAAAUGGGGCCCCCCCACUCAAAGUCCAGGGCCUCCGCACACCCCAGGCCCCCAAGGGUUUAAGUCUGAUAUUACAAAAUAAGUAUGCUGCCUGGAAAUACAUUUCACUGAAUACACACAUGCACACUUCACAGUAUAUAGUGAUAUACAUUGAGUACUAUAUAUUUGUGCUACUUUUAAUGCCUAGAACACACUAGAAAGACGAAUUAUUAAAAUGGGCCCCUCGCUGCAGAUUAGCAAAGGAGACUUUCAACCAUGCAGGGUGAGCCUAUGUUUGUUUUCUCAGAAUUCUGAACAAAUUCAGUCGAUUCCAGGAGGUUUUCCACACCAGGCUUUUAAAGCCCUUUAACACACUUCUCCUCCUCGGGAAUGAUGGAGGUGCUGCAUUCACAGGUGUGCCAGAUUUACCCUAAAGUCCCUGCAAGUGAUUGGAGAGCAGUUCACACACAAGAAAAAUGAAAUCGAAUAAAAGCACCACACCUGCUUCACAGUUCUCACUCAGACCUUCUGGGUUGCAAAACAACUUGAACAUAAGUGCAUUUACAAAUGAAUGAAUAAAAUAAAUAUAAUACUGUUUCUUCCAGAAGUUUUUGUAAUUUUCUGCCAUGAAACAAGCCACUUAUAGGACUUUUUAGACAGUUUUUUUUAAGCCAGCAAAUUUUCCAAGCUGUUUUAAAAUAAAUAUCCAGAGACUUCUCAGUCCCAGCCCCCAUAUCAAAGCCCUAUGGCAAGCAGAGGCCUAUAUAUCUGUGGGGGGCGGGGGGCGGGGAAGGUAACCACAAAAAGGAGUUCACACUCUACCUGGCAGCAAGGGGUCUUCUGCUGCAGAGACCAGUGGUGGCCACUCUGGCUGGCUGGCUUGGGCCCUACUCGAGUUCAGGCUUCACAGAGGCCUACACGAGGCCUCCGUGGAAGCCCCGCCCACCCGCCGAUCAGCUGAGAGGCGGGAGAAAAGGAGCUCUUGGCAGCUGGGCUGCUGCUUCCAUUGCUGGCCAGGAGAACAAGCUGGAGAGACGGAGAACAGGGUGGCGUUAGUGGGAUCAUACGGUCCUGGUACGCCGUUACCAUCCACAGGAAGAAGAAGGACGCCAUUGGGUGACAAUACGGAUCGCUCCCUCACUCCCAAACCGAAAAGCAGCCGCAAAAUUAGGAGCGGCGGCACCUUCCUUCUUGCCUCUAUGUGGCGCGUGCCCACCGUGGAGCUUCCUGUGCGCAUGCGGUUUCUAGCCGAUGGUCCCUCACUACGCCUGCGCGCUUUUGAGCCUCGCUGAGUCUGGGAUGCGCAUGCGCUUAGCACCCCCUUGCUC